rnacentral:rRNA from 1 species
CCAAUAGCGUAUAUUAAAGUUGUUGCAGUUAAAAAGCUCGUAGUUGAAUUUCGGGACCAGUAGGUUGGUCGUGCCUACGGUACGUACUGGCUUCACUGGUUCCUCCCUUCUGACAAACCAUGAUGCCAUUAAUUUGGUGUUGUGGGGAAUCAGGACUGUUACUGUGAAAAAAUUAGAGUGUUUAAAGCAGGCUUAAGCUUGAAUACAUUAGCAUGGAAUAAUGAAAUAGGACGUUUGAUCUUAUUUUGUUGGUUUCUAAGAUCGACGUAAUGAUUAAUAGGGAUAGUUGGGGGCAUUAGUAUUCAAUUGUCAGAGGUGAAAUUCUUGGAUUUAUUGAAGACUAACUACUGCGAAAGCAUUUGCCAAGGAUGUUUUCAUUAAUCAAGAACGAAAGUUAGGGGAUCGAAGACGAUCAGAUACCGUCGUAGUCUUAACCAUAAACUAUGCCGACUAGGGAUCGGAUGAUGUUAAUUUUUAAUGACUCAUUCGGCGCCUUACG